AGGAUCAUACUUCACGGGAUCAUUUCUGUAGUAUGUCUUCAUCUCUCUCUAGUUCAAAGCUGGAGUGGACGUAACGACAAUGAUGAGUGGUAGCACUUUCCCUGAGCAUGAGACAUCCGACCGAGAUUCAUUGCAUCUUGGCUUUAAUCGAUCGUUCACCACAUUCUUAGGGAUGUGGGAAGGGAACAGGACUUUCCGAGAGGU